GAUGAACGCUAGCGGCAGGCCUAACACAUGCAAGUCGAGGGGUGGAGGUUGCUUGCAACCUUGAGACCGGCGCACGGGUGCGUAACGCGUAUGCAAUCUGCCUUGUACUGAGGGAUAGCCCAGAGAAAUUUGGAUUAAUACCUCAUAGUAUCUUUUCCCGGCAUCGGGAGAUUAUUAAAGUUCCAACGGUACAAGAUGAGCAUGCGUCCCAUUAGCUAGUUGGUAUGGUAACGGCAUACCAAGGCAAUGAUGGGUAGGGGUCCUGAGAGGGAGAUCCCCCACACUGGUACUGAGACACGGACCAGACUCCUACGGGAGGCAGCAGUGAGGAAUAUUGGUCAAUGGGCGCAAGCCUGAACCAGCCAUGCCGCGUGCAGGAUGAAGCAUCUAUGGUGUGUAAACUGCUUUUAUACGGGAAGAAACACCGGUCCGUGAACCGGCUUGACGGUACCGUAAGAAUAAGGAUCGGCUAACUCCGUGCCAGCAGCCGCAGUAA
rnacentral:rRNA from 1 species